rnacentral:rRNA from 1 species
GAUCCUGGCUCAGAUUGAACGCUGGCGGCAUGCUUUACACAUGCAAGUCGAACGGCAGCGGGGGCUUCGGCCUGCCGGCGAGUGGCGAACGGGUGAGUAAUGCAUCGGAACGUGCCCAUGUCGUGGGGGACAACGUAGCGAAAGCUACGCUAAUACCGCAUACGCCCUGAGGGGGAAAGCGGGGGAUUCUUCGGAACCUCGCGCGAUUGGAGCGGCCGAUGUCGGAUUAGCUAGUAGGUGAGGUAAAGGCUCACCUAGGCGACGAUCCGUAGCGGGUCUGAGAGGAUGAUCCGCCACACUGGGACUGAGACACGGCCCAGACUCCUACGGGAGGCAGCAGUGGGGAAUUUUGGACAAUGGGCGCAAGCCUGAUCCAGCCAUGCCGCGUGAGUGAAGAAGGCCUUCGGGUUGUAAAGCUCUUUCGGCCGGGAAGAAAUCGUGGUCUCUAACAUAGGCCAUGGAUGACGGUACCGGACUAAGAAGCACCGGCUAACUACGUG